rfam:Oryza glumipatula chromosome 3, whole genome shotgun sequence.
AAUAAGUGAAGUCACGAAUUUCCGUAUCUAACUUUAAUCGUUUGUCUUAUUUAAAAUUUUUUAUAAUUAGUAUUUUUAUUAUUAUUAGAUUAUAAAACAUGAAUAAUAUUUUAUGCAUGACUUAUGUUUUUUAUGUUUUUUUAAAAAAAUUAAAUAAGAAGAACGAUUAAACUUGGACACGGAAAAUCAUAGUUGCGUUUAUU